UACGUAGGGGGCAAGCGUUGUCCGGAUUUAUUGGGCGUAAAGAGCGUGUAGGCGGUCCGGUAAGUCCGCUGUGAAAGUCGGGGGCUCAACCCUCGAAUGCCGGUGGAUACUGUCGGGCUAGAGUGCGGAAGAGGCGAGUGGAAUUCCUGGUGUAGCGGUGAAAUGCGCAGAUAUCAGGAGGAACACCUAUUGCGAAGGCAGCUCGCUGGGACGUAACUGACGCUGAGACGCGAAAGCGUGGGGAGCGAACCGG
rnacentral:rRNA from 1 species